AGAAAAUAAUAUGUUGUUUCCAUUUCAACCUAUUAUGCGUAAAGAUGACGAUGAUUUUUAUGAGUUACACAUGUUACAUCCAAUUUACAAACAAUAAAUAAACCUAGCUGUUUAGCUACCUAACUACUUAAAUAGAUUAUUAUUCCCAUUUUUUAAAUAUUUAAUAAGUUAAUUUAAUAUUUAUAAUUUGUUGUGAUUAUACUUUAUUUAUAUUUAUGUUUUCGGCCAUUUUUACUUACCCGGUCCUUGCACUGCACUGCCUGACCCUGCUUCAGACCUAGGGCAGCGAGUACACUGAACUAUUGCACUGAACUUGGUUAGGGCCUGAGCAGAAUGGCUGACUUAUAACCUUAAAACACUGUUUUAUGCCCUAAGUCUUUGUCUUAGGUAACGCACAAUACUGUGUUAAUGUUUCCUGUCUUGUGUAGUAUACGCGACGUUUUAAGGAAUAAACGUAAAACGUAUAUUAAAAUGAUGUAUAGAAAUAAGCAAUUUUUAUUGCUUGUUUUACAAUGGAUGCUUUUGUAUAAAUUAUUAAAACGAAAAAAAAAA